rnacentral:piRNA from 1 species
UAGAAAGAGCCCCAGGUGCUGCCUCC